UUCUCACUACUUUUUUCACCUGAAGAUUGAAAAGGAAACUCAUUUCAGUUUGUAACAUUGCACUGACUGUUCCAGACACAAAAUGAAUCAAGUCUCCUGUUGGAUUAUGUGGUUAGCAUUUCUUCUCUUCCCUGAUAUAGAAAUUUAGAUCUGUAAGGACCAUCAGUGUGGUGAAGGUCACAUGUACAUCAGAAUUGGAAUUGGAGUCAUGUCAAGAUGUUCUCACUGGCAAAGACAGGAGGAGGUUAA
rnacentral:lncRNA from 1 species